GGUUGCCUCCGUUGGUUAGAGCGUGGUGCUUGAUAAUGCCAAGGUUGCAGGUUCGAUCCCUGUGUGGGGCA